AGAAUCUUGAUGCUGUUUCAUCGAGAAAGGAAAGGAUUGAAGCUGUUGGAGAGGCUGAGAGUGGCUUCUCAGCAGACCCCAGAAAGGCAACUACACACCCUGUUGUCAGUGUAAACAUUGAGGCAGAAGAAAAGGUGGUUCAGCAAGAGAUCGUGGAUAUGUACCUGAAGAGCAUGCAGCAAUUCACUGAGUCCUUGGCAAAGAUGAAGCUUCCUAUGGACCUCAAAAAUGAGUCCCACAAUUCAGAAAACUCGAGCAUGGAUG
rnacentral:lncRNA from 1 species